AGUGAACGCUGGCGGCAGGCCUAGCACAUGCAAGUCGAACGGCAGCACAAGAGAGCUUGCUCUCUGGGUGGCGAGUGGCGGACGGGUGAGGAAUGCAUCGGAAUCUGCCCAUUUGUGGGGGAUAACCUCGGGAAACCGGGACUAAUACCGCAUACGACCUACGGGUGAAAGCAGGGGAUCUUCGGACCUUGCGCAGAUGGAUGAGCCGAUGCCGGAUUAGCUAGUUGGAGGGGUAAAGGCCCACCAAGGCGACGAUCCGUAGCUGGUCUGAGAGGAUGAUCAGCCACACUGGGACUGAGACACGGCCCAGACUCCUACGGGAGGCAGCAGUAGGGAAUAUUGGACAAUGGGCGCAAGCCUGAUCCAGCCAUGCCGCGUGUGUGAAGAAGGCCUUCGGGUUGUAAAGCACUUUUGUUGGGAAAGAAAAGCAGCCGGUUAAUACCCGGUUGUCAUGACGGUACCCAAAGAAUAAGCACCGGCUAACUUCGUG
rnacentral:rRNA from 1 species